CCUACGGUGAGCAGCAGUCGAGAAUCAUUCACAAUGGGGGAAACCCUGAUGGUGCGACGCCGCGUGGGGGAAUGAAGGUCUUCGGAUUGUAAACCCCUGUCAUGUGGGAGCAAAUUAAAAAGAUAGUACCACAAGAGGAAGAGACGGCUAACUCUGUGCCAGCAGCCGCGGUAAUACAGAGGUCUCAAGCGUUGUUCGGAAUCACUGGGCGUAAAGCGUGCGUAGGCUGUUUCGUAAGUCGUGUGUGAAAGGCGCGGGCUCAACCCGCGGACGGCGCAUGAUACUGCGAGACUAGAGUAAUGGAGGGGGAACCGGAAUUCUCGGUGUAGCAGUGAAAUGCGUAGAUAUCGAGAGGAACACUCGUGGCGAAGGCGGGUUCCUGGACAUUAACUGACGCUGAGGCACGAAGGCCAGGGGAGCGAAAGGGAUUAGAUACCCCAGUAGUC
rnacentral:rRNA from 1 species